AAUGUAUUUAAUUUUUCCUGUUUUAUUAAUUUUUAUUGAAUUUAAAAUUGUAAAGAAUGACUUUAGUUUAAAGCGUGGUCUUUGGAUCUACUGUCCUAGACCUUCGAAUAGUUUGAAGAGGACGAUUUGGGGUACUGAUGUUUCUUCAAGGAAGUACAAGUGUAGUGCUUCUUGAUGUCUAGGCGUCAGUGAGCGGCAGCAGAUUCUGCUUCCAUUAAUUUGCCGCAUGUUUCAUCACCAAGAACUGUCACGAAAUGCCCUGUGGUGUGGAAUGAAGGGGUGAAAAGGUUUGCAGAAGUACAAUACCAGGAUUCACUGUCAUCACUUCAAAGUUCAAAGGAAGAUCGGCGGGCGACGGAAUGCCCUGAUAAUCCUAGUGACGGUUUGGCUUGGCAUUAUCAAACUCUAUGAUAAAGAGUAUUUGCUGCACAGAAGAUUUCGAGUGGAAACCACCAUCGAAACUUUCCAUGUUCAAACGGUCGAACGGAAACUACAGUUGGACAUGUAACACUUCGAUAAAUUGUGUGUAAGAGAUAGCAUAUCACUUUAUGCUCAUUCUACAUGAGUACAUGAUUGUAGUUAAUAAGUAUGAAUCAAAAGUUAACUGUGCUACUGAAUUGGUUUACUCUCUUUUUGAAUGUUCGGUAGUUUGGUGCUGAACUCUUUAUGGAAUACGAGGUAGGUAUCUAAUCUGAUGCUUAAUUUGGCCGCUGGA